CGACCUUAACCGAAGCGUUCGGGUCCGGCUGUCACAUUCGUGGCGUACCGAAUGCUCGUCUCUUGUGGCGGCGACGACGGCGACGGCGGCGGCGUAACGCGUUAAUGAAAAUGGCAACGCGUCGCGACGCCAUGUGGCAGCCUCAACGGGAUACGCACGGCUGCAAAUUGCGCUGCUUUAUCAAUCUGAAAUAACAUCGGCGCGGAACAAUUAACGACGACGCGAAACUUACGGGGACUUCAUCGAUCAACGGAAGGAUCAUGUUACGGUAUGGCUGACAUAUAGACGGAUGUAUAUCUGAGAGAGAAAUAGCGUGUUUAAGAGAUUGCAGAUAUUCCAUCUUGAUAAGCAACAUAUUUUCAGUUCGCAAGCAGAGGAUAGCGAAAGCAUUAAUUCGCAAAGCAAAGCACAUAGCACACACAGCAAUUUAGAAAUAUACAGGGAACCUUCAAAAUAGUCCAAUGAAAAAUAUUUCUGAAAAAAACAGUGCAAUUAGUUUGUUAAGUCUGCUGCAAAAUUGUGUUAAUAAAAGAACAUUGUGAUAAAGAAAUAUAUUUUUAGGAGAUA